GAUGAACGCUGGCGGCGUGCCUAAUACAUGCAAGUCGAACGACCACACGAGAAGCUUGCUCUUCUAAGGUUAGCGGCGGACGGAUGAGUAACGCGUAGAUAAGCUUCCUAUUAUACGUGGGUAACUACGGGGAACCACAGCUGAUACCGCCUAAUACGACCUACGGCAUGAAUCAAGAGUUCAAGGGACCUUUGCUGACUGAAAGAGAUGAUGUCGGAUUACCUAGUUGGCAGGGUAAAGGCCCACCAAGCCAAGGAACCGUAGCUGGUCUGACAGGAUGAUCGGCCACACUGGAACUGAGACACGGUCCAGACUCCUACGGGAGGCAGCAGUGGGGAAUAUUGGGCAAUGGGCGAAAGCCUGACGGAGCAAUGCCGCGUGGGUGAUGAAGGUCUUCGGGUUGUAAAGCCCUGUUAUUAGGAAAGAAAAACGGCAGAUUUAAAUAUCCACGUUCUGACGGUACCUAAACAGAAAGCCACGGCUAACUACGUG
rnacentral:rRNA from 1 species